AUGACUUUCAUCAUCAUCUUCAUCUGGACACUUUUUAUCCAAGGUGUCAGUGGACAGAUAACUGUGACUCAAACUCCAUCUGUUAAAACUGUUCAGACUGGUGAAUCUGUCACUAUAAACUGCAAAACAAAUACAGAAGUGAGCAACUAUUGUACUGGUUCAUAUACUUGUAUGGCCUGGUACCUGCAGAAACCUGGAGAAGCUCCUAAACUCUUGAUUUAUGCUGCAAUUCAAAGAUUCUCAAACACUCCAUCAAGAUUCAGUGGCAGUGGAACAGCAAACACUGGAAAAGAUUUCACUUUGACCAUCAGUGGAGUUCAGACUGAAGAUUCAGGAGAUUAUUACUGUCAGAGUUUUCACAAUCCUGGUAGUAGCUGGGUGUUGACACAGUGA